CGAAGUCGUAAGGACCGUUUUUUGGUAAGUAAGCGUCGGUGGGAAAGUUAGGAAAGGUUAGUGGCGGACGGGUGAGUAACGCGUAGAUAAUCCACCUAAAGACUGGGACAACAGUUGGAAACGACUGCUAAUACCGGAUACGCUGCACAUAGGGCAUCCUAGGUGCAGGAAAGAGGCCUCUUAACAAUGCUCCUGCUUUUAGAUGAGUCUGCGUCUGAUUAGCUAGAUGGUGGGGUAACGGCUUACCAUGGCGACGAUCAGUAGUCGGCCUGAGAGGGUGACCGGCCACAUUGGGACUGAGACACGGCCCAAACUCCUACGGGAGGCAGCAGUGGGGAAUCUUCCGCAAUGGGCGAAAGCCUGACGGAGCAACGCCGCGUGAUCGAAUGAAGGCCUUCGGGUUGUAAAGAUCUGUUGACAGGGACGAAUAAGCAAUGCGAAUUAGUUUUGUGGAUGACGGUACCUGUUUAGAAAGCUCCGGCUAACUACGUG
rnacentral:rRNA from 1 species